AACGAACGCUGGCGGCAUGCCUAACACAUGCAAGUCGAACGAGACCUUCGGGUCUAGUGGCGCACGGGUGCGUAACGCGUGGGAACCUGCCCUUAGGUUCGGAAUAACUCCCCGAAAGGGGUGCUAAUACCGGAUAACGUCUUCGGACCAAAGAUUUAUCGCCUUUGGAUGGGCCCGCGUUGGAUUAGCUAGUUGGUAGGGUAAAAGCCUACCAAGGCGACGAUCCAUAGCUGGUCUGAGAGGAUGAUCAGCCACACUGGGACUGAUACACGGCCCAGACUCCUACGGGAGGCAGCAGUGGGGAAUAUUGGACAAUGGGCGAAAGCCUGAUCCAGCAAUGCCGCGUGAGUGAUGAAGGCCUUAGGGUUGUAAAGCUCUUUUACCCGGGAUGAUAAUGACAGUACCGGGAGAAUAAGCUGCGGCUAACUCCGUG
rnacentral:rRNA from 1 species